CGUUUUGGGGUGGGGUGACUGCGUACCUUUUGUAUAAUGGGUCAGCGACUUAUAUUCUGUAGCAAGGUUAACCGCAUAGGGGAGCCGGAGGGAAACCGAGUCUUAAUUGGGCGUUAAGUUGCAGGGUAUAGACCCGAAACCCGGUGAUCUAGCCAUGGGCAGGUUGAAGGUUGGGUAACACUAACUGGAGGACCGAACCGACUAAUGUUGAAAAAUUAGCGGAUGACCUGUGGCUGGGGGUGAAAGGCCAAUCAAACCGGGAGAUAGCUGGUUCUCCCCGAAAGCUAUUUAGGUAGCGCCUCGUGAAUUCAUCUCCGGGGGUAGAGCACUGUUUCGGCCAGGGGGCCAUCCCGGCUUACCAAUCCGAUGCAAACUGCGAAUACCGGAGAAUGUUAUCACGGGAGACACACGGCGGGUGCUAACGUCCGUCGUGAAGAGGGAAACAACCCAGACCGCCAGCUAAGGUCCCAAAGUCAUGGUUAAGUGGGAAACGAUGUGGGAAGGCCCAGACAGCCAGGAUGUUGGCUUAGAAGCAGCCAUCAUUUAAAGAAAGCGUAAUAGCUCACUGGUCGAGUCGGCCUGCGCGGAAGAUGUAACGGGGCUAAACCAUGCACCGAAGCUGCGGCAGCGACACUGAUGUGUUGUUGGGUAGGGGAGCGUUCUGUAAGCCGUUGAAGGUGGCCUGUGAGGGUUGCUGGAGGUAUCAGAAGUGCGAAUGCUGACAUAAGUAACGAUAAAGCGGGUGAAAAGCCCGCUCGCCGGAAGACCAAGGGUUCCUGUCCAACGUUAAUCGGGGCAGGGUGAGUCGACCCCUAAGGCGAGGCCGAAAGGCGUAGUCGAUGGGAAACGGGUUAAUAUUCCCGUACUUGGUGUUACUGCGAAGGGGGGACGGAGAAGGCUAUGUUGGCCGGGCGACGGUUGUCCCGGUUUAAGCGUGUAGGUGUGUGUUCCAGGUAAAUCCGGUUCACUUUAACACUGAGGCGUGACGACGAGGCACCACGGUGCUGAAGCAACAAAUGCCCUGCUUCCAGGAAAAGCCUCUAAGCCUCAGGUAACAUCAAAUCGUACCCCAAACCGACACAGGUGGUCAGGUAGAGAAUACCAAGGCGCUUGAGAGAACUCGGGUGAAGGAACUAGGCAAAAUGGUGCCGUAACUUCGGGAGAAGGCACGCUGACACGUAGGUGAAGUGGUUUACCCAUGGAGCUGAAGUCAGUCGAAGAUACCAGCUGGCUGCAACUGUUUAUUAAAAACACAGCACUGUGCAAACACGAAAGUGGACGUAUACGGUGUGACGCCUGCCCGGUGCCGGAAGGUUAAUUGAUGGGGUCAGCGCAAGCGAAGCUCCUGAUCGAAGCCCCGGUAAACGGCGGCCGUAACUAUAACGGUCCUAAGGUAGCGAAAUUCCUUGUCGGGUAAGUUCCGACCUGCACGAAUGGCGUAAUGAUGGCCAGGCUGUCUCCACCCGGGACUCAGUGAAAUUGAACUCGCUGUGAAGAUGCAGUGUACCCGCGGCAAGACGGAAAGACCCCGUGAACCUUUACUAUAGCUUGACACUGAACACUGGUCCUUGAUGUGCAGGAUAGGUGGGAGGCUUUGAAGUGUGGACGCCAGUCUGCAUGGAGCCAUCCUUGAAAUACCACCCUUUAAUGGCUGGUGUUCUAACGUGGGCCCGUGAACCGGGUUGCGGACAGUGUCUGGUGGGUAGUUUGACUGGGGCGGUCUCCUCCUAAAGAGUAACGGAGGAGCACGAAGGUUGGCUAAUCCUGGUCGGACAUCAGGAGGUUAGUGCAAUGGCAUAAGCCAGCUUGACUGCGAGCGUGACGGCGCGAGCAGGUGCGAAAGCAGGUCAUAGUGAUCCGGUGGUUCUGAAUGGAAGGGCCAUCGCUCAACGGAUAAAAGGUACUCCGGGGAUAACAGGCUGAUACCGCCCAAGAGUUCAUAUCGACGGCGGUGUUUGGCACCUCGAUGUCGGCUCAUCACAUCCUGGGGCUGAAGUAGGUCCCAAGGGUAUGGCUGUUCGCCAUUUAAAGUGGUACGCGAGCUGGGUUUAGAACGUCGUGAGACAGUUCGGUCCCUAUCUGCCGUGGGCGCUGGAAGAUUGAGGGGGGCUGCUCCUAGUACGAGAGGACCGGAGUGGACGCAUCACUGGUGUUCGGGUUGUCAUGCCAAUGGCACUGCCCGGUAGCUACAUGCGGAAGAGAUAAGUGCUGAAAGCAUCUAAGCACGAAACUUGCCCCGAGAUGAAUCUUCCCUGAGCCUUUAAGGCUCCUGAAGGAACGUUGAAGACGACGACGUUGAUAGGCCGGGUGUGUAAGCGCAGCGAUGCGUUGAGCUAACCGGUACUAAUGAACCGUGAGGCUUAACCUUACAACGCCGAAG
rnacentral:rRNA from 1 species